GCCAAAGAGCCGGGCUCAUGGGGCCUAGAGUAGAGUUUCAAAAAGCCAGAUUUCACACAAAUAAAUCAAUAAAUCAUGUCUGAAGGCAUUGAUACUCGAACCGUGUUGAGAACCUUUGUUAAUAUUUAAUUUUUAAAUCUAUCUUAACUGAAAAAAAUAACCAACAAACUCACAUAUGCUGCUUGUAACAUUUUAAAACAUUGAAACCCAACUAACUGGAGUUCCAGGUAAACUGUUUUUGUACAGAUGCCACAACAAGGCCAUCUCUGGUAAAUUGAAGAGCAUCUUGCUACUUCAAGGUGAGUUAUUAAAGAAUUUCACUGCUUAGUGUGAAUUAGGACUUUCUCAACACUCUGCAGCUGAAACAAAAUACAGAAAUCAAGUCUUGUACAUAACCUAACUUCUUCUUAAAUAAACCCAGACUCUAAUGUUUGUUGUUUUCUAAAAAUAACUUCACUUUUCUUACUUUACUGGUCAAAUUAAGUGUCCUACACUAUCCCUUCUGUUGAUGUGUUGGUUUUCCAUGUAGCUGUCAUUCCUAAAAGGUUGCAGGGGUAGAGGGCCACAGAUCAAAGGAGGUUGACACUUACCUCGUAGAACUUGGCUUAUUUCUCUGUGGCUCACCUCUCUCUCCUCAAAGUCAAGUUGUAGGGGCUUACAUGUAUUUCCUGUAUCUUUUUUAAUGUGUUUUUCGGAUACUUAACUCACCACUAGGACCAGGUGGUUUUGUGUUUGCAUUGCUGUGGGAAGUUUAGAGAGUUAACAUUGAUGUGAUCUUAAAUGAUCUUUACUCUUUUUUUCAUAUUGAUUCGUAAAUAAUUGUAUACAAAUUAUCUCUGGUAGAAGUGAUCUUAAUGACAACAACAGGAAAAAAUGCUCUUUGUAUUUGGUUUUAGAUUGCUGUAUGGUAUUUGAUUUUUAUUUCUCGUUUAAGUUAAAAUUAGCUUGAAUUCCUUGAGUAGACAAAGCUUGCACUACUUAGGCAACAAAUGAGAGCAUGUUAGACAUUCCAGGAAGAAAAGAGGAGCUACUGGUUUUCAAAUUUGGCUCCAAAUAACCCAUAAAAAUUUGCAAAUCACUUGUGAAUUGUCAAAUAAACUCUACCUUUUA
rnacentral:lncRNA from 1 species